rnacentral:rRNA from 1 species
UACGAAGGGUGCAAGCGUUGUUCGGAAUCAUUGGGCGUAAAGGGCGCGUAGGCGGCUUGGCAAGUGGAUGGUGAAAUCCCUCGGCUUAACCGAGGAACUGCCAUCCAGACUGCUUUGCUUGAGGCCGGGAGAGGUGAGUGGAAUUCCCAGUGUAGCGGUGAAAUGCGUAGAUAUUAGGAAGAACACCGGUGGCGAAGGCGGCCCACUGGUCCGGUACUGACGCUGAGGUGCGAAAGCGUGGGGAGCAAACAGG